AGCAGUCCGAAAAUUUGUAUCAGGACGUUAGCUAGGAAAUUUAAGACUGGAAUGAACUUCCCAGAUAUACAAGGGAAGAAAACUGGGAGGAUGUAUAUCCCAGGAUUAUUUGGGUAUAUCAGACUUAAAUCUGUAUGUAAAAGGUGAAAAUAGAGUUUUGUGAAUGUCUGUGUGUAUGUCUGCUUUGCAUUGCCUUUGUUCUGUGUUAAAAGUUAGAAAGCUCAUAAGAGAUAAGAAUUCAGCUCUGUGUUACAGGCUUAGAAAAAUAUCAGGAUGAAUUGUGGGAACUGGAAUUCAUUCAGAGUAGUAAUUCUUUCAGAGUGGCUCAGAAUGUAUUGGUCUUAGAAUUUGGGAACUAGUUUUGGGCUUCUCAAGGAAAGAAAAUCUUUUUUUCUCUUUCUCUCCCUCUGUCUCUGGCAGUGGCUUUGCGGGAGGAGGGAAAGAAGGGGGAAAAAUAAAAACAUAGAUUGAAAGUUUGGAAAGUUUUGAGAAAAUAGAAGAACAGUGGCUAUCGCUCCUAUAAACAAGGAGCCUGUUAUCAGGACUCAGCCAGAGAAAAGAAUUCUCAAGGUAAAGGAAGGAUUGGUGCUUAACUCUUUCCUGGUUACUAAAGAAAAGACAUGGGAAUAAAGUAUCUAGGUAAAUUUUAGGAAAUUUCACAAACUGAAGUAAAAUAACUCUAAAUUGGUGUGUGUGUUAAGAUUGGAAAAUUUAAGAUCGGAAAUAAGAAACUGCAGAUAUUGGAAGGGAGGAAUAAAAAUAGUCAGAGAGGUAAAUAGUUGAACACAGGGGCGUAAUGACCUGUUGGACCUGUGGGAAAACUAGGCAUACUUCUAAAGAAAAAAAUUUGCAGGAAAAGAAAGAAAAAUCAUUAUUAGUAAAUUUGCCUUCAUGGAAUUAGAGAACAGAAAGUUUAAGAAGACUAAACUGGGUAAUUGUUUGCAAUAUUUGAUUAAGAGUUUUGGGAAUUUACUAUAUUUUAAAGAGGUACUAUAAUUUUGAAAUUGGAAUAAAAUUAAAAUUGGAGGAAAUAAUUUACUGUUGCCUUACACAUGUUAGAUUUAUUCUGAGUAUAAAAUCUUAAGAAUUUUUCGAGUAUUGUGGCCUUUACAACUGAAGAGAAAAACUUUUCUUUUUUUUAUUAUUUGGUUGGACUUCAAAUUGAAAUAUAGGUUAUUAAACAAAAUGCCAGUAGCUUACCUUAGGGAGGGCUUAUGUUUGUAUCUCCCUACUUAAAUGGUAUGUUGCUUUUUAAAAGUAUUGAGUAAUUUGUAAACUAUAUUAUAAGUUUUAUGAAAUUUGAUUCAAAAUUAAUUGUGAAUCUUGAAGUUUAAAGUUUUUAAAAAAAAAAGAUGAUUUAAAGAAAGGGAAAAGAGAUUGAUUUACAAAAGCAAUUAAUAGUUUAAAUAGAGCAUCUAGUCGGAAGGAUUUUUGGUUUAGGAGUGUUUAAAGUAUGUAAUAAAUUUUGAGCAAGUAAGCAUUGGGAAGAGAGAGAGACAGAGAGAUGGGAUAGGAGAAUGAAGGUAAUUUAAGAAGGAUUGCUUAGUAGAAACAAAUGAUUUCAAGAAGUCGUCAGUGGGAAAAAGAAGGAACUGGUUGGAAAGGGUAGUCACAGAGAGAUGGCUGUGAGAAGGGAUGUGUUUUUGUGGGAGGAGAGAAAGCGAGCAGCAGUGGAAAGCGGCAGCCGCUUGGUUCCUUUGGCUGAAGAAAACAAAUGGUUAUUUAAAGAGACAAAUUGCUCUUACAAGAUGUUAAUUGAUUGAAUAUUUGUUUAUUUAGAUACAUAAUGGUUAUGAAUAUUAAAGAAUAUGAUCAGAAAUGUGGUAUAUAGUUUUAAAGGGUUAUUUCAAAAAGUUUAAUUGAUGUUUUCAAGAACUUUUCAGAUUCUUUUUAUGUGAAAAUAGGAAGUUUUAAUUAACUGUAUUGAUGCCAAUUAUCUGAAAUGGGACUUUAAGGAUAAUAGUUUUUGCCUUCUUCCUUUUGAAAAUGUUUUUGUUGUGAACCAUAUGUAGUUUGGGAUUUUUCUGUAUAUUGGGUAUUUUAAAAGCAAAAUGAUUGGUAUAUUAAAUUUAUUCAAGAUGCAACAUCUACUUGGGUAUAUAAGAAUUGUGUGAAUUUUCUGGGAUAAAUUUCUUACUGUUAUUGAUAUAAGGUCAUGGUAAAUAACUGAGAUUUAUUUGAAACUUUGAAGACGAAAUUCUUUGGGCUUGUAAUUAAUGCUAUUUGGAAGUUUUAAAGCUCCACUCUUCAGUGUCUGAAGAUUGAGUUUUAACUGCUUAUAUUAUGUUAUAGUUAUGUUCUUGCAUUUUUUCCUCCUGUGACUGAUUUCUAUGAUCAGAACAAUAGCUAAUAAGAACUGUUAAUGUAAUUCAAAUAUGUCAUACCUUGCUGUUUCCAAUCUGGUUAUAUGUAAUCAUUAUAUCCUAAAUACUUAGGCAAAUAAGUAUUUAGCCUGGUCAUCUGUCUGUUACUGGAUAUUUGUGUUUUAUUUUUAAAUUUUUUUUUUUUUUAUGAUAAGAGGACAAUUUACAAUGGUCUGUGAAACCUAACUGCUAUUUAUUGGAACUAUAGCUGUCUGACUAUCCUGUGAAGCAAGCUUAUUCCUUCACACAGGAACUGCUGGCCAAUCUAUACUGGCCUCCCCACAUAUUGUUGCAGGUCCAGACUAUUCUAACUUUGUUAGAUUUAGUUUUUUUUGUUUUUCUAGAUUUUGGUCAAAUUACAGAUUAUUGAAUCUCUUCUGAGACAUGGAUUGGCCCAUCUGAAGCUUAGAUUGACACCACACCCACACCCCUGCAUGGAUUGAGCACCUUCACCCAUUUCUCAGCCUGAAGCAGCUAAGAUCGAGACCAUCGCCAGUGCUCCUGAUGUAAUUUGGACUGAUAUGGGGGAAGUGGGAAAGUGGUUGAUGAAUUAUUGUUAAAAUUACAACUCUAUUACUAGAGUUAGAAAAAAAAAUGCAAACAUUACUGUGUGUUUAAGAUUUGGGAUGGAAAUUAUUAAAAAUGGUAACUAUUGCUGUUAAGGAAGCUAUAAAAUGUUUAUAAUAUCUAUGUUCACUUCAGAAUAUGUAAUUGUUUAAGGUAUUUGAUUUGAUUUGAUUUGAUUGAUUUUAGGAAACUCCUCCUGUACUAGACUGUUAUGUAUGUAGGAACUUUAAUUCACUCUUGGGAUUUAUAUGUGGAUGGUUAUUUGACUAUUUAUUAUUAUUUUUUUUUUUUUUUUGGAUGAUUCCUUUCCAUGAGGAAAAAAAAAGGAGAGGAAGAGAUAGGGAACUAGGGAAACUGGUGGAUUUUUCUCAAAAUACCUAAAAGAGUGGGAACCCUUAGUUUUCUUUCACUUUUGCCUUUCGUACUUCUGCCCCAUCCCCUAUACCACCAGUUCAGAUUAAAUUGGAAGUCCUUAAGCAAUCUUUUUUGUUUUUACUAUGUUUUAGCUUUGAAACCCCUCAUUCUGUGGAAUUGCCCUGGCAGACUCAGUUUUGGGAACUAUUCUGUUUUAAAGAAGAUUAAGAUUAAGACACUUGUCUUGGGACUGGCAAUCUCCAGCCCUGUAACCCCAGUUUCUUAACUGGUACCUCAGCAUUUUUAAUAACAUUGCCCUUUUGAGAUCAAGCCUCUAAAGUUUGGGGUUUGCCUGCCUUCAUGUUCUAACUGUGCAUGCUCUGAUAGCUCUGCUCAGAAAUCUGUAUUCUAGUAGCAGCCUUGUCUGUUCCCCUGGGUGGGGACAGGUGGAGCUACUCUAAGCCUCACCCUUCUCCCCUAGAGUGGGUUGCCCCUCUGAAUGGGCAGCAUGACUGUCUCGAGCCCUGCUACUUCCUUUAUAAGCAGAAGCUGAGUUAAGUGCACAAAUGACUGCAGACCACCUAACACAGUGAACUGUCCAUCUCAAACUGGAUUUUCUGGCUGAGAUGAGGGCCUUUGUACUGCUGAUAACUCUGGGGUUGUCAGGAAGAGACUUGUCCUUGCCAUAAGUCCUUGCAUUUUCUAGUUUCAUUUUGAUUUAUUUGCCUCACAUUGGAUUGGUCAAAAUUAUAGUGCUGAGACCUCCCAGGUAUCUUAGGGAGGUAAUUCAAUCAUUCAAAUAUUCAGAAGAAGAGUGUAUAAUGUUGUGCCUCAGUUCCCCUAGAUUGUCAUCUUUAUCUGUCUUUUUAUUUUUAUGUUUGCCAAAUGCCAAUCUGUUCUAUGAUAACUGUUUCUAAGAUAGUUGGUGGAAGCAAUUUUUAUGGUAUGAACUUAUUGCAAUCAAUGGUAUUAUCCUGUUGCUGCUAUGUCUACCCUGUAUAAUUACAUUAGUAACCAGAAUAGUUCAGUGGUCCCUAUCAAAAUAUUGCAUACAGAAAAUGCUAUUAAAAUGAUGAUUCUUCAGAGAAAAGACUGGAAUGUAUUAAAGAGGGAUGAUCUUGAUUGUGAACUUGAUAAACAAUGUAUAGAUAUAUUAACUGAUUUUGAAAAGUGUGUAAGUUCUUCAUAGAAAUGUGAUAAAAAUCAUUUACAUAUUAGAAGGGGGGAGCUGUGGGGAAUAGAUAAGGUGAAGAACUUACAGGAAUGUAUGAAUUCUUUUUCUGUAUUUUAUUAUUUCUGUGUCUCCCCUAUGACCUGUAUAUGUGCAGGCUCAUAUCUACUUGAGCCUUGGCCAGCUAGAAACAUAUUUACUUAACCUGAACUGAUGACAUUUAUUGGUAUUUGACAUUUAUCAAUAUUUAGUCUAUUAGCUGGACCACUGUCUGCUUGAUUAAGCCUGAAGGCCUGACUUUGUUUCCCAGAAAUCAGGAGAUUUCAGGGAAACAGAAACCUUCCAUUCCAAUCUCCCCAACUAGCAACAACCAAUUAGAUGCUUCCCCCUCCCCUUUCAAUGCUCUCUUACUUGUGAUGUAAUUUCUUGUAUAAAAGCUAUGUAUCUUUACUACUUCUUUAGCCCUCCUACCACGAGCUUAUCUUGCGAUGGGACGGCUCAUCCUCCGGAGGUUUUUCAAUAAACAACUUUUCUGCCUUCUACUGAGGGAUCUCUGAGUAGUCAUUUUGGGUAAGGGUCUUCUACAUCCCUCACAGAUGGGGGCUCGUCCGGGAUGGGGUCUUUGGGGGAGAUGGCUAUGUGCACCCCGAACAGGGACAGGCACCCACGGAGUAGUUUUCUCCAUGGUCUCUGGCUCUGGGUGAGCAGCCUCCCUCCCCUCUUAGACAACGACCCGAAGCAGGAAUACUCAGUGGAACGCAGAAUUGAAGAUUGAAAGAAGUAGAGUCCUGAUGGCCGGCAUUUGCAGCCUGAAAAGAAACAUAUGUUCUCGAGGUAAAGCUCUUGGGAAGUCUGGGGGUUUAUUGGCUGGGUCGAGGGAGACCCUGAGGGAUUAGCCCUCUUAAAUUUAUUUUUGGUGUGGACUGCUGUUAACCCCAACGAUAAAGGACUUUUCCUAAGGAAGCUCUCGGGUGGCUGUGGGGGCGUGAGGGUAACAUAGGGCCUCCGCCUGGGCGUGAGGAUAACAUAGGGCCUCCGCCAACACCUGGAUCAGGUCCAGGGUGGUAUAGAAGCAGUCCGAAAAUUUGUAUCAGGACGUUAGCUAGGAAAUUCAAGACUGGAAUGAACUUCCAGAUAUACAAGGGAAGAAAACUGGGAGGAUGUAUAUCCCAGGAUUAUUUGGGUAUAUCAGACUUAAAUCUGUAUGUAAAAGGUGAAAAUAGAGUUUUGUGAAUGUCUGUGUGUAUGUCUGCUUUGCAUUGCCUUUGUUCUGUGUUAAAAGUUAGAAAGCUCAUAAGAGAUAAGAAUUCAGCUCUGUGUUACAGGCUUAGAAAAAUAUCAGGAUGAAUUGUGGGAACUGGAAUUCAUUCAGAGUAGUAAUUCUUUCAGAGUGGCUCAGAAUGUAUUGGUCUUAGAAUUUGGGAACUAGUUUUGGGCUUCUCAAGAAAAGAAAAUCAUUUUUCUCUCUCUCCCUCUGUCUCUGGCAGUGGCUUUGCAGGAAGGGGGAGAGAAGGGGGAAAAAUAAAAACAUAGAUUGAAAGUUUGGAAAGUUUUGAGAAAAAUAGAAGAACAGUGGCUAUCGCUCCUGUAAACAAGGAGCCUGUUAUCAGGACUCAGCCAGAGAAAAAAAUUCUCAAGGUAAAGCAAGGAUUGGUGCUUAACUCUUUCCUGGUUACUAAAGAAAAGACAUGGGAAUAAAGUAUCUAGGUAAAUUUUAGGAAAUUUCACAAACUGAAGUACUGGUUAAUUUUAAAAUAACUUUAAAUUAGUGUGUGUGUUAAGAUUGGAAAAUUUAAGAUCAGAAAUAAGAAACUGCAGAUAUUGGAAGGGAGUAAUAAAUAUAGAGUAAGAGAGGUAAAUAGUUGAACACAGGGGCAUUCUGACCUGUUGGACCUGUGGGAAAACUAGGCAUGCUUCUAAAGAAAAAAAUUUGCAGGAAAAGAAAGAAAAAUCAUUAUUAGUACAUUUGCCUUCAUGGAAUUAGAGAACAGAAAGUUUAAGAAGACUAAACUGGGUAAUUGUUUGCAAUAUUUGAUUAAGAGUUUUGGGAAUUUACUAUAUUUUAAAGAGGUACUAUAAUUUUGAAAUUGGAAUAAAAUUAAAAUUGGGGGAAAUAAUUUACUGUUGCCUUACACAUGUUAGAUUUAUUCUGAGUAUAAAAUCUUAAGAAUUUUUCGAGUAUUGUGGCCUUUACAACUGAAGAGAAAAACUUUUCUUUUUUUUUAUUAUUUGGUUGGACUUCAAAUUGAAAUAUAGGUUGUUAAACAAAAUGCCAGUAGCUUACCUUAGGGGGGGGCUUAUGUUUGUAUCUCCCUACUUAAAUGGUAUGUUGCUUUUUAAAAGUAUUGAGUAAUUUGUAAACUAUAUUAUAAGUUUUAUGAAAUUUGAUUCAAAAUUAAUUGUGAAUCUUGAAGUUUAAAGUUUAAAAAAAGAUGAUUUAAAGACAAGGGAAAAGAGAUUGAUUUACAAAAGCAAUUAAUAGUUUAAAUAGAGCAUCUAGUCGGAAGGAUUUUUGGUUUAGGAGUGUUUAAAGUAUGUAAUAAAUUUUGAGCAAGUAAGCAUUGGGAAGAGAGAGAGACAGAGAGAUGGGAUAGGAGAAUGAAGGUAAUUUAAGAAGGAUUGAUUAGUAGAAACAAAUGAUUUCAAGAAGUCGUCAGUGGGAAAAAGAAGGAACUGGUUGGAAAGGGUAGUCACAGAGAGAUGGCUGUGAGAAGGGAUGUGUUUUUGUGGGAGGAGAGAAAGCGAGCAGCAGUGGAAAGCGGCAGCCGCUUGGUUCCUUUGGCUGAAGAAAACAAAAGGUUAUUUAAAGAGACAAAUUGCUCUUAAAAGAUGUUAAUUGAUUGAAUAUUUGUUUCUUUAGAUACAUAAUGGUUAUGAAUAUUAAAGAAUAUGAUCAGAAAUGUGGUAUAUAGUUUGAAAGGGUUAUUUCAAAAAGUUUAAUUGAUGUUUUCAAGAACUUUUCAGAUUCUUUUUAUGUGAAAAUAGGAAGUUUUAAUUAACUGUAUUGAUGCCAAUUAUCUGAAAUGGGACUUUAAGGAUAAUAGUUUUUGCCUUCUUCCUUUUGAAAAUGUUUUUGUUGUGAACCAUAUGUAGUUUGGGAUUUUUCUAUAUAUUGGGUAUUUUAAAAGCAAAAUAAUUGGUAUAUUAAAUUUAUUCAAGAUGCAACAUCUACUUGGGUAUAUAAGAAUUGUGUGAAUUUUCUGGGAUAAAUUUCUUACUGUUAUUGAUAUAAGGUCAUGGUAAAUAACUGGGAUUUAUUUGAAACUUUGGAGACGAAAUUCUUUGGGCUUGUAAUUAAUGCUAUUUGGAAGUUUUAAAGCUCCACUCUUUGAUGUGCUGAAGAUUGAGUUUUAACUGCUUAUAUUAUGUUAUAAUUAUGUUCUUGCAUUUUUUCCUCCUGUGACUGGUUUCUAUGAUCAGAACAAUAGUUAAUAAGGACUGUUAAUGUAAUUCAAAUAUGUCAUACCUUGCUGUUUCCAAUCUGGUUAUAUGUAAUCAUUAUAUCCUAAAUACUUAGGCAAAUAAGUAUUUAGCCUGGUCAUCUGUCUGUUACUGGAUAUUUGUGUUUUAUUUUUAAAAUGUUUUUUUUAAAUGAUAAGAGGACAAUUUACAAUGGUCUGUGAAACCUAACUGCUAUUUAUUGGAACUAUAGCUGUCUGCCUGUCCUGUGAAGCAAGCUUAUUCCUUCACAUAGGAACUGCUGGCCAAUCUAUACUGGCCUUCCCACAUGUUGUUGCAGGUCCAGACUAUUCUAACUUUGUUAGAUUUAGUUUUUUUUUUUGUUCUAGAUUUUGGUCAAAUUACAGAUUAUUGAAUCUCUUCUGAGACAUGGAUCGGCCCAUCUGGAGCUUAGAUUGACACCACACCCACACCCCUGCAUGAAUUGAGCACCUUCGCCCAUUUCUCAGCCUGAAGCAGCUAAGAUCGAGACUAUCGCCAGUGCUCCUGAUGUAAUUUGGACUGAUAUGGGGGAAGUGGGAAAGUGGUUGAUGAAUUAUUGUUAAAAUUACAACUCUAUUACUAGAGUUAGAAAAAAAUGCAAACAUUACUGUGUGUUUAAGAUUUGGGAUGGAAAUUAUUAAAAAUGGUAACUAUUGCUGUUAAGGAAGCUAUAAAAUGUUUAUAAUAUCUAUGUUCACUUCAGAAUAUGUAAUUGUUUAAGGUAUUUGAUUUGAUUUGAUUGAUUUUAGGAAACUCCUCCUGUACUAGACUAUUAUGUAUAGGAACUUUAAUUCACUCUUGAGAUUUAUAUGUUGAUGGUUAUUUGACUGUUUACUUUUUUAUUAUUUUUUGGAUGAUUCCUUUCCAUGAGGAAAAAAAAAAGGGAGAGGAAGAGAUAGGGAACUAGAGAAACUGGUGGAUUUUUCUCAAAAUACCUAAAAGAGUGGGAACCCUUAGUUUUCUUUCACUUUUGCCUUACGUACUUCUGCCCCACCCCCUAUACCACCAGUUCAGAUUGAAUUGGAAGUCCUUAAACAAUCCUUUUUGUUUUUACUAUGUUUUAGCUUUGAAAUCCCUUAUUCUGUGGAAUUGCCCUGGCAGACUCAGUUUUGGGAACUAUUCUGUUUUAAAGAAAUCUCUAAGAUAAAGACACUUGUCUUGGGACUGGCAAUCUCCAGCCCUGUAACCCCAGUUUCUUAACUAGUACCUCAGCAUUUUUAAUAACAUUGCCCUUUUGAGAUCAAGCCUCUAAAGUUUGGGGUUUGCCUGCCUUCAUGUUCUAACUGUGCAUGCUCUGAUAGCUCUGCUCAGAAAUCUGUAUUCUAGUAGCAGCCCUGUCUGUCCCCCUGGGUGGGGACAGGUGGAGCUACUCUAAGCCUCACCCUUCUCCCCUGGAGUGGGUUGCCCCUAUGAAUGGGCAGCAUGACUGUCUCGAGCCCUGCUACUCCCUAUAUAAGCAGAAGCUGAGUUAAGUGCACAAAUGACUGCAGACCAUCUAACACAGUGAACUGUCCAUCUCAAACUGGAUUCUCUGGCUGAGAUGAGGGCCUUUGUACUGCUGAUAACUCUGGGGUUGUCAGGAAGAGACUUGUCCUUGCCAUAAGUCCUUGCAUUUUCUAGUUUCAUUUUGAUUUAUUUGCCUCACAUUGGAUUGGUCAAAAUUAUGGUGCUGAGACCUCCCAGGUAUCUUAGGGAGGUAAUUCAAUAAUUCAAAUAUUCAGAAGAAGAGUGUGUAAUGUUGUGCCUCAGUUUCCCUAGAUUGCCAUCUUUAUUUAUCUUUGUAUUUUUAUGUUUGCCAAAUGCCAAUCUGUUCUGUGAUAACUGUUUCUAAGAUAGUUGGUGGAAGCAAUUUUUAUGGUAUGAACUUAUUGCAAUCAAUGGUAUUAUCCUGUUGCUGCUAUGUCUAUCCUGUAUAAUUACAUUAGUAACCAGAAUAGUUCAGUGGUCCCUAUCAAAAUAUUGCAUACAGAAGAUGCUAUUAAAAUGAUGAUUCUUCAGAGAAAAGACUGGAAUGUAUUAAAGAGGGAUGAUCUUGAUUGUGAACUUGAUAAACAAUGUAUAGAUAUAUUAACUGAUUUUGAAAAGUGUGUAAGUUCUUCAUAGAAAUAUGAUAAAAAUCAUUUACAUGUUAGAAGGGGGGAGCUGUGGGGAAUAGAUAAGGUGAAGAACUUACAGGAAUGUAUGAAUUCUUUUUCUGUAUUUUAUUAUUUCUGUGUCUCCCCUAUGACCUGUAUAUGUGCAGGCUCAUAUCUACUUGAGCCUUGGCCAGCUAGAAACAUAUUUACUUAACCUGAACUGAUGACAUUUAUUGGUAUUUGACAUUUAUCAAUAUUUAGUCUAUUAGCUGGACCACUGUCUGCUUGAUUAAGCCUGAAGGCCUGACUUUGUUUCCCAGAAAUCAGGAGAUUUCAGGGAAACAGAAACCUUCCAUUCCAAUCUCCCCAACUAGCAACAACCAAUUAGAUGCUUCCCCCUCCCCUUUCAAUGCUCUCUUAC